GUUACUUUCAAUCUAAGCAGUAACAAGACUCAGCUAAAAAUGCUAUAACUUGUAUAGAAGAACUAAACCUGCUUUGUAUGAGGGUUCAAUGCACUGGCAGAGGGCUGGCAAUGACGUCAGAAUAUUGCAGAUGUGCAGGAUCGAUAUUUUUCUGCGCAGCUGCUAGUAACUUGCAGGAAGAAGGGCUGACAAUGGCUAUAGAACGGUGCUGAGGACCAGGGCCGAAAUUUUUCUCUGCACACGCUAGUAACCUGCGGGAAGAAGGGCUGACAAUGGAGUCAAAACGGUUCCGAGGACCAGGGCCGAAAUUUUUCUCUGCAAACGCUGGUUUUGUCUCCUCUCAUGGGAAGAUGACCACAGCUAAGCUUUCCUCAGGAUCAUCAUAUUCAAGCCCUCUAAAGAGAAGGAGAGCAGUGAAAUGCCACCAAUCAUGUACGAAGAGGAAAAUAUGGAAGAAUUAUCUCCCGGCACUCUAGUUUGAUUGGACAUACUUGGUAAUUUAUAUUUUCUUUUGUUCAAAAUGAAUUUAAAAAGAAAGGUGACAUACUGUGGAUAGCACGAGUUUUUAUGAGCUAGUUGAAUGGGUGAAGGGAGGACUACGAAUAAUUGUGUUGUGGUGCAUUUGUAGUGUUUCGAAUUUUUCAUGUAUUUUUAGACAAUAAAAAUAUAGACAUUGUCCGUUUCUUAAGAUUGCAUUCAAUUCUAUCCACUAGCCAAUAUGUUAAGCAAUUAAGAGCAGUAAUCACUCAAUUUUUAAAAUGUUGGAUUCUUUCAGAAUUGUAGGAAAAUGUAAUUAUUUGGAAUCAUUUAUGACUUUAGUAAAUCUUGCAGCCUGCAUAGCGUCAUGAAUAGGGCUGAUAUCUGAAAACCAUUUUUAAGGACCUUAAAAGUGUUUCACUUUAAUGAAAAGGUGCUUAAAAAGUGUUUAAUUUUUUUCGAAAAGUGCAAAGAUAACUUUUUGUUUCCCUAUAUAUUGUAUACGAUAAAUCAGAAUCGUGUUCAUAAGGUUUGUUUACCGAUGUAUCAAGAAAGAAAACCAACAAAAGGGAAGAAUUAGGAGAAAAAAAAUUCAGGGUGAAAUUGACCUCAGGGUAUUUCCAAUGUGUAUUAAGAUAAUACGUAAAGACUUUUUUCCUCCCUUACCAUCUUUCUUCAACGCUGCAUUGUUUGUUGAAAUGCUGGGAAAAUUAUCCCGAAGGUAUGUACUAUGUCAUUUAUGAAAAUAAGUACUAUGCCAUAUUUGUUGAGAUGCGAAAAAUAUUCAAACUUCAGUGGAAUUCAAAAAUGCUGAAGAAUUUGUUUUAGUUAUGCUUAAUAAAUGUAUAUUUAAUCUUUUUUAUGUGAGGUUAAAGAAAAAUACACAGAUUAAUCGGAUGAACAAGAAAUAAAAAACAGCAGGAUGAAUCUAGUCCUCCAAAGCCAUAUAUUGAACAUGGAAGAAACUUCUCUAAAAACGCUUAUAAUGAAGCCUCUUCAAACUGUUACACAUUUAAUCAUUGUUCUCGGUUAUAUGUCAAUUUAAAAGUCCUUAAAAACUGCUUAUUUUUUUAUGGUCCUUAAAAGUGCUUUUUUUAAAUUUUUUAAUUAAGUGCUUAUAUUUUUUCUUUCUUUCAUUUCACCAUGCUACAUCUGCCAAUGAUAGGAUGUAUUUGCUUUGCUUUGCCUCUGCCGGAUUUUCCAAUAUUUAACAGAUUUAAUGAAUCUGGAGUACAUUUUAUGGAGAAACUUUUACUACACAGACACAUGGCUUAAAUAGCUAGUGGAAUGGAAAAUGGCUGUAUUUACAACAGAGCUGUUCAGCAUAUGAAAAAUGGGUUCCUAGAAUGGCGUGGGAAAAGAAACUUCAGUUUCAACUAGUUCAAAUUUAGAUGACCAAAUCCGGAGACGCAAAGAAGGAAGCAGAAUCAAGCUCAUCCGACCAUUUCUUCAAUCUGCUGAAGCAACAAGGUUAAUGGACUCAGACUUAGAAGAAGAUCUUUCAAUGCGAUACGUUUCUUCUUCAGCAUUAAGUGCAUAUGAUUCGGAAAGCUGAUUUAUACUUUCGCAACAAUUAUCUGAAAGAAAUGAGUUGGUUGUUAUAUCGGAUAUACACGUCUUAGAAUCAAAAAUUGUGUUUUAUAUACGUCUCGGUUUGUGAGCUUUGCGAGAAGAUUUCUUUCCUUUACAUUUGAAAAGACAUUCAAAUCGUUGUUUUGCUACUCACGUGAUCAAUUUGGAAUACUUGCAGGCAAUGAAAUCGGUGAAUGUAGGACUUUGAUGAGUUGUGGGGAUAAUAUUUUUUUAUAAUGUGGCUGCUGCAAUUUUGACAAGAGUCUGCAAAUAUGUAUUAAUUUUUUUCGACAAACAUUUGAGGUAGAUCAUUUUCUGAACCAUUAUGAUUCACAAUAAAUGAUGAGCAGAGAAUUCAUUUACAUAGUUUUCUUGUCUCGGAGAUAACGUAAGAGAGUUUUUAGUUUCUGAAAUCGGUAAUUUCUAGAAUGGAAAAUAAAUCAAUAUUAUGAUGGUCUAUGGAUGGAUUACUAGGUAUACACAUCUCAUUCUCGAUAAAAUAUUUGUUAUAAACACAUAUUAAUUCCUGAAAAAUUUCCCGGGAAUUAAUAUUUACUGAACAAUUUGUCUCAAAAUGUUCAGUUUCAGCUAGUUUAAAUUUAGAUGACCAAAUCCGGAGACGCAAAGAAGGAAGCAGAAUCAAGCUCAUCCGACCAUUUUUUCAAUCUGCUGAAGCAACAAGGUUAAUGGACUCAGACUUAGAAGAAGAUCUUUCAAGUUGCAAAGUUUCCUCUUCAGCGUUAAGUGCAUAUGAUUCGGAAAGCUGAUUUAUACUUUCGCAACAAUUAUCUGAAAGAAAUGAGUUGGUUGUUAUAUCGGAUAUACACGUCUUAGAAUCAAAAAUUGUGUUUUAUAUACGUCUCGGUUUGUGAGCUUUGCGAGAAGAUUUCUUUCCUUUACAUUUGAAAAGACAUUCAAAUCGUUGUUUUGCUAUUCACGUGAUCAAUUUGGAAUACUUUCAGGCAAUGAAAUCGGUGAAUGUAGGACUUUAAUGAGUUGUUGGGGUAAUUUUUUUUUUAUAAUGUGGCUGCUGCAAUUUUGACAAGAGUCUGCAAAUAUGUAUUAAUUUUUUUCGACAAACAUUUGAGGUAGAUCAUUUUCUGAACCAUUAUGAUUCACAAUAAAUGAUGAGCAGAGAAUUCAUUUACAUAGUUUUCUUGUCUCGGAGAUAACGUAAGAGAGUUUUUAGUUUCUGAAAUCGGUAAUUUCUAGAAUGGAAAAUAAAUCAAUAUUAUGAUGGUCUAUGGAUGGAUUACUAGGUAUACACAUCUCAUUCUCGAUAAAAUAUUUGUUAUAAACACAUAUUAAUUGCUGAAAAAUUUCCCGGGAAUUAAUAUUUACUGAACAAUUUGUCUCAAAAUGUUCAGUUUCAGCUAGUUCAAAUUUAGAUGACCAAAUCCGGAGACGCAAAGAAGGAAGCAGAAUCAAGCUCAUCCGACCAUUUUUUCAAUCUGCUGAAGCAACAAGGUUAAUGGACUCAGACUUAGAAGAAGAUCUUUCAAGUUGCAAAGUUUCCUCUUCAGCGUUAAGUGCAUAUGAUUCGGAAAGCUGAUUUAUACUUUCGCAACAAUUAUCUGAAAGAAAUGAGUUGGUUGUUAUAUCGGAUAUACACGUCUUAGAAUCAAAAAUUGAGUUUUAUAUACGUCUCGGUUUGUGAGCUUUGCGAGAAGAUUUCUUUAAUUUACAUUUGAAAAGACAUUCAAAUCGUUGUUUUGCUACUCACGUGAUCAAUUUGGAAUACUUGCAGGCAAUGAAAUCGGUGAAUGUAGGACUUUGAUGAGUUGUGGGGAUAAUAUUUUUUUAUAAUGUGGCUGCUGCAAUUUUGACAAGAGUCUGCAAAUAUGUAUUAAUUUUUUUCGAGAAACAUUUGCGGUAGAUCAUUUUCUGAACCAUUAUGAUUCACAAUAAAUGAUGAGCAGAGAAUUCAUUUACAUAGUUUUCUUGUCUCGGAGAUAACGUAAGAGAGUUUUUAGUUUCUGAAAUCGUUAAUUUCUAGAAUGGAAAAUAAAUCAAUAUUAUGAUGGUCUAUGGAUGGAUUACUAGGUAUACACAUCUCAUUCUCGAUAAAAUAUUUGUUAUAAACAGAUAUUAAUUGCUGAAAAACUUCCCGGGAAUUAAUAUUUACUGGACAAUUUGUCUCAAAAUCUUCAGUUUCAACUAGUUCAAAUUUAGGUGACCAAAUCCGGAGACGCAAAGAAGGAAGCAGAAUCAAGCUCAUCCGACCAUUUUUUCAAUCUGCUGAAGCAACAAGGUUAAUGGACUCAGACUUAGAAGAAGAUCUUUCAAUGCUAUACGUUUCUUCUUCAGCAUUAAGUGCAUAUGAUUCGGAAAGCUGAUUUAUACUUUCGCAACAAUUAUCUGAAAGAAAUGAGUUGGUUGUUAUAUCGGAUAUACACGUCUUAGAAUCAAAAAUUGAGUUUUAUAUACGUCUCGGUUUGUGAGCUUUGCGAGAAGAUUUUUUUCCUUUACAUUUGAAAAGACAUUCAAAUCGUUGUUUUGCUAUUCACGUGAUCAAUUUGGAAUACUUUCAGGCAAUGAAAUCGGUGAAUGUAGGACUUUAAUGAGUUGUGGGGGUAAUUUUUUUUUUAUAAUGUGGCUGCUGCAAUUUUGACAAGAGUCUGCAAAUAUGUAUUAAUUUUUUUCGACAAACAUUUGAGGUAGAUCAUUUUCUGAACCAUUAUGAUUCACAAUAAAUGAUGAGCAGAGAAUUCAUUUACAUAGUUUUCUUGUCUCGGAGAUAACGUAAGAGAGUUUUUAGUUUCUGAAAUCGGUAAUUUCUAGAAUGGAAAAUAAAUCAAUAUUAUGAUGGUCUAUGGAUGGAUUACUAGGUAUACACAUCUCCUUCUCGAUAAAAUAUUUGUUAUAAACAGAUAUUAAUUGCUGAAAAACUUCCCGGGAAUUAAUAUUUACUGAACAAUUUGUCUCAAAAUCUUCAAUUUCAACUAGUUCUAAUUUAGAUGACCAAAUCCGGAGACGCAAAGAAGGAAGCAGAAUCAAUCUCAUCCGACCAUUUUUUCAAUCUGCUGAAGCAACAAGGUUAAUGGACUCAGACUUAGAAGAAGAUCUUUCAAGUUGCAAAGUUUCCUCUUCAGCGUUAAGUGCAUAUGAUUCGGAAAGCUGAUUUAUACUUUCGCAACAAUUAUCUGAAAGAAAUGAGUUGGUUGUUAUAUCGGAUAUACACGUCUUAGAAUCAAAAAUUGAGUUUUAUAUACGUCUCGGUUUGUGAGCUUUGCGAGAAGAUUUCUUUAAUUUACAUUUGAAAAGACAUUCAAAUCGUUGUUUUGCUACUCACGUGAUCAAUUUGGAAUACUUGCAGGCAAUGAAAUCGGUGAAUGUAGGACUUUGAUGAGUUGUGGGGAUAAUAUUUUUUUAUAAUGUGGCUGCUGCAAUUUUGACAAGAGUCUGCAAAUAUGUAUUAAUUUUUUUCGAGAAACAUUUGCGGUAGAUCAUUUUCUGAACCAUUAUGAUUCACAAUAAAUGAUGAGCAGAGAAUUCAUUUACAUAGUUUUCUUGUCUCGGAGAUAACGUAAGAGAGUUUUUAGUUUCUGAAAUCGUUAAUUUCUAGAAUGGAAAAUAAAUCAAUAUUAUGAUGGUCUAUGGAUGGAUUACUAGGUAUACACAUCUCAUUCUCGAUAAAAUAUUUGUUAUAAACAGAUAUUAAUUGCUGAAAAACUUCCCGGGAAUUAAUAUUUACUGGACAAUUUGUCUCAAAAUCUUCAGUUUCAACUAGUUCAAAUUUAGAUGACCAAAUCCGGAGACGCAAAGAAGGAAGCAGAAUCAAGCUCAUCCGACCAUUUUUUCAAUCUGCUGAAGCAACAAGGUUAAUGGACUCAGACUUAGAAGAAGAUCUUUCAAUGCUAUACGUUUCUUCUUCAGCAUUAAGUGCAUAUGAAUCGGAAAGCUGAUUUAUACUUUCGCAACAAUUAUCUGAAAGAAAUGAGUUGGUUGUUAUAUCGGAUAUACACGUCUUAGAAUCAAAAAUUGAGUUUUAUAUACGUCUCGGUUUGUGAGCUUUGCGAGAAGAUUUUUUUCCUUUACAUUUGAAAAGACAUUCAAAUCGUUGUUUUGCUAUUCACGUGAUCAAUUUGGAAUACUUUCAGGCAAUGAAAUCGGUGAAUGUAGGACUUUAAUGAGUUGUGGGGGUAAUUUUUUUUUUAUAAUGUGGCUGCUGCAAUUUUGACAAGAGUCUGCAAAUAUGUAUUAAUUUUUUUCGAGAAACAUUUGCGGUAGAUCAUUUUCUGAACCAUUAUGAUUCACAAUAAAUGAUGAGCAGAGAAUUCAUUUACAUAGUUUUCUUGUCUCGGAGAUAACGUAAGAGAGUUUUUAUUUUCUGAAAUCGCUAGCUUCUAGAAUGCAAUAUAAGUCAAUAUUAUGAUGUUCAACAUUUGCUGGACAAUUUGUCUGGAACUCUCUCCUUCUUUGCCUAUUAAAACGACUGCCACAUGAACUGGGAUGAAGGGAUCCAUAUUUGAUAUAUCUGAAAUUUUUGUGCAACUGUCGGUUAAAGAAUUUGAGCAAGCAUAACUUUGAUUACUAACAUUAUUUUGCUGCCUUUCCAACUUAUUACACAUAUUUUGUAUUGACGUGGGUGAAAAAUGUUGUUUAAUUCUUGUUAUUGAUAAUAAAUAAACUGGAUAAGCUCCUAAUUAUGCAGAUUCUUCUGAUGCUCUACUAAUCUCUUCAAGAAAUAUGUUUUCUAAGUUCAUCAAAUCUGAUUAUAAAGGCUAUGUGAACCUAUAAAGAAAUGUAUAUUUAUAAUUUUUUAUAUGUAUUAGACGAUUCAAUUAUAAAUAUAUAUAUAACAUGUAUAUAAAUAUGUGAGGAUUUUUAGAAAAUUCAUGCACCUGAAGUAUUACAGAUAAUUUAAAUAAUGUUUAAAUAAAUUUUGUUCAUAAAUGA